GAUGAACGCUGGCGGCGUGCUUAACACAUGCAAGUCGAACGGUGAAGCAGGAGCUUGCUCUUGUGGAUCAGUGGCGAACGGGUGAGUAACACGUGAGCAACCUGCCCCUGUCUCUGGGAUAAGCGCUGGAAACGGCGUCUAAUACUGGAUAUGUGAUGUGACCGCAUGGUCUGCAUCUGGAAAGAAUUUCGGUUGGGGAUGGGCUCGCGGCCUAUCAGGUUGUUGGUGAGGUAAUGGCUCACCAAGGCGUCGACGGGUAGCCGGCCUGAGAGGGUGACCGGCCACACUGGGACUGAGACACGGCCCAGACUCCUACGGGAGGCAGCAGUGGGGAAUAUUGCACAAUGGGCGGAAGCCUGGUGCAGCAACGCCGCGUGAGGGAUGACGGCCUUCGGGUUGUAAACCUCUUUUAGCAGGGAAGAAGCGAAAGUGACGGUACCUGCAGAAAAAGCACCGGCUAACUACGUGCCAGCCGCCGCCGUAA
rnacentral:rRNA from 1 species